ACUAGUGAUUCUGGUUGAUCCUGCCAGUAGUCAUAUGCUUGUCUUAAAGAUUAAGCCAUGCAUGUCUAAGUAUAAAUAGUAUACAGUGAAACUGCGAAUGGCUCAUUAAAACAGUUAUAGUUUAUUUGAUAAUUGAAUACUACAUGGAUAACCGUGGUAAUUCUAGAGCUAAUACAUGCGUCAAAACCUGACUUUUUGAAGGGUUGUAUUUAUUAGAUACUAAACCAAUAGUCUCUGACUAUUGUGAUGAUUCAUAAUAACUGAUCGAAGCGAGGCUUGCCUCGCUAAAUCAUUCAAGUUUCUGCCCUAUCAGCUUUCGAUGGUAGUGUAUUGGACUACCAUGGCAGUCACGGGUAACGGGGAAUUAGGGUUCGAUUCCGGAGAGGGAGCCUGAGAAACGGCUACCACUUCUAAGGAAGGCAGCAGGCGCGUAAAUUACCCAAUCCCGAUUCGGGGAGGUAGUGACAAGAAAUAACAACUCGGGUCCUUCGGGAUUACGAGAUUGCAAUGAGGACAAUUUAGACCACUUAUCGAGGAACAAUUGGAGGGCAAGUCUGGU
rnacentral:rRNA from 1 species